UAUGUGAUCGUCUCUCGCAUAUCAAUAAGCGGAGGAAAAGAAACUAACAAGGAUUCCCCUAGUAACGGCGAGUGAAGCGGGAAGAGCUCAAAUUUGAAAUCUUAAAGGGUUUCCCUUUACGAAUUGUAGUUUAAAGAAGUGUUUUCUGUUGAGGUUUUGGUAAAAGUUCUUUGGAAUAGGACAUCAUAGAGGGUGAGAAUCCCGUAUUUGACCUUUACUUUCAACUUUGUGAUACACUUUCAAAGAGUCGGAUUGUUUGGGAAUGCAGUCCAAAAUGGGUGGUAAAUUUCAUCUAAAGCUAAAUAUUGGCGAGAGACCGAUAGCGAACAAGUACCGUGAGGGAAAGAUGAAAAGAACUUUGAAAAGAGAGUUAAACAGUACGUGAAAUUGUCAAAAGGGAAGCGUUUGACACCAGUGUUGUUUUUCUGAAAAUCAAUUAAAGAACUGUUUAUGCUAAGCUGUUUAGACUUUAUCAGCUAAUCUGUUUAGUUUUGAGCUUUUCUUUAAUGCACUUUUCAGUUAACAAGUCAACAUCAAUUUCUUUUGCUGUAAAAAAGCUUGAGGAAGGUGGCUUGAGAUUCGUCUUAAGUGUUUAUAGCCUCUUGCCUAUGCAGUCGGAGAGAUUGAGGUCUGCAGCGUAGAUCCUUCGGGGCUAAAUGCAUUUGUGCUAAGUUAUAGCAUUUUAUAGACAACUUGUUGACUAUGAUUUGUCUUGUAGCUUACUCGCUUAUGUUAUUUUACCUACGCUUAGGAUGUUGACUGAUAUGUAGUCGUAA
rnacentral:rRNA from 1 species